rnacentral:tRNA from 1 species
GCCCCGGUAGCUCAGCGGUGGAGCGGCGGCCUUGUAAGCCGCAGGUCGGGGGUUCAAAUCCCCCCCGGGGCU